GAUACCCCUGGAAAGAUUGGACAACCCAGGGUUGCUGAGGAAAAGCCCCUGAACAGGCCCCUGACUGCAGGCAGCCCUGAGUGUCCUUGGCAAGGUAUACAGCUGCCCGGCUCCCCCCCUCAUUAGAGGCCAUCUAGAGGGACUGGGUGUGAAUCUUUGCAAAAGUAGAUGUAAGUUGGCAUAGUUGAACAAUAAGGGGAGAACAAUGCUUAAUCAUAUUGGUGUACAUGUCAUUUAUGCGGCCAGCUCUCCGGACUCGGUCCCUAACACCUGUCCUCCUCCUGUCCCCCUGUGCCCCUUUUCUUGGACAAGUCUCAAAUGGCAACACACAUUCCCAAAGACUGUCUGCUUCCUUAAAUCCACGGACCAGCUAGUGCUGUCACUCAACAGCUGAAAUGAGCUUUCAGAGCCUAGAAACUAGCAGGAGUGACAAACAAAGGGAUUUGAAUCUGGAAAUAGGUGAGUUCCACCCACCCACUGCUGCUGAUGCAGAGACGGGCUCAGGGCAUCUGCGCAGCCCUUCCCUUUGGCACUGAUCCUGCACUGGAAUGUUGUGUUGUUGCCAAACCGGGCCUCAAACCAGGAGAAGGUAAGCCCUGACCAUUUGCCCCUGACCCUGGCACACCCACAGUGUGUUAUCUGGAGCAUGUGCCUCAGCUGGUGUCACUUGAGUUUCACCAGAGUUGCAAGUUGGCUCCUGCUCUGGGCGAUUCCGAGUGACCAUCACAUCAGUUGUGCACUAAGCACCGUUUAGCCAGACCCAGAGAUUUGGCCACAUAGUGACUUCUGAACAGAAAAUCAAAAUGCAGGAAAAGUGCCAGGACCACGGACGGGCCUGGGUACAGCACGGUCUUUGUGGGUCACUGUCACUCCAGGCCCUUACAGUCUCUCCUCAUCUUUCUUGUAGGCUCCCUUCAGGUACAGGAGCCAUUGCUCACUGGUGUUUUUGACUAUUCUCUGCCAAGGAAAUGAGUUGAAUUUCCUUGUCAAAUCUAAUAGGCUUUUAUACUUGGGCUUCUCUGCUGUGGGAUUCAUACUCAGAGACUGGUGUUGGUGUCUGGACGCUUCCAGAAGGUGGAUGUUAUCCCUGGAUGUAUAAAGAAAACGCCUAUCCAUCAUCUCUCAGGCAAUGAGAGCGGUGCAGGUGUCUGGCAUGGCAGCCUUUCCACCAGUUCACUGGUUGAGCUGGUGCCAAGGUGAGCCCACUCUCUAAAUUUCCCUUGCAUGCCUCAAGGCGUGCAUCGUAAGAUUCGUGCUUGUUGGAAGGACAGGAUUGAGCCGGUCUUCCGUGCAGUGAGUGUCAGGCGACGUUCUCUUUGCUGCACGUUGGUGACUCCAGGGGGUUCUGGAGUAACACAGACAUGCUGGCUCGAGAAGGCACAAAAGAGUGCUUUCCUUUCAAACACGGGAACUGGUGAAAAAGUGUGGUUUGUCUCUCACUGCCUGCAUUCCCUUCAACCCAGGGAGGCCGUAUGGAGCUGAUGACUUCCUGCCUGUGUUGACAUAGGCCCUAGCCCAGUGUGAUGAGCUGGAGACUGAAAUCGAAUACAUGACAGAGUGGCUGGAUCCAUCCUUGGUGUAUGGAGAAGCUAAAGGCUGAGAGGGGACACUGUCGGUAAUACAGAAAAUACUACCCUGUGUACAGAACGCAUCUCUGAACGCCUCUGAACAGACUGUGCUGCCUCUUAGCUGGACACUCCCACCCAAAUGGCUGACUUGGAAAAGAUAAGACAGACAGUGGGUCUCCUGUUGCUGCGGACCGUUACCUCCCGUCGAGACUCUUUUACUUUGUGACCUGCAGCUUCUUUUGUACAUUGCAACUCUGUUGUGGCUUUAAUUUGUUCUCUGUUUGUGUAAUAAAGGUGGAGUAUGCAGGACUGUACACACCAUCUCCCGAACAAGUUGGACAUUAUGGGGAAUGCCACAAAGGUGACAGACCAGUUGUUGUUUUAAAAACAAAGGCAACCCUUUGGGAUGAUUGCAGAGUACAAAUCUCACACUCAAUUGUUGCUUUAUUGCCACUAAGAGCGGUUGCUUUGAUGUUGAUGAACACCGGUAGAUUGUCUUUUACUUUGUUUAAGCAGCCGUGUUUAUUUCAUCCACCUCUGAAGCUUGGGAAGAAGACAAAACCCUGUUAGAUAAUCAUUUAAAAUAAAGCUGGUGUUCCAAGAGUAGAGGAAUAAACACGUGGGAGUAAAGGAGAGACAGGAGUCUUUUAAGGAAUCGGCUUUCCUCAGCAUGAGUGGACCCAGCCACGGGCACCGCUGUAUCAUAUGGAGCACAUGCAACCACUGAAUGCGUCUCAGUGGCUGAGAAUACACACUCCAGCGUUUUGCAGGCCAAUGAGCUGUUUUCCUUUUGUGUGUAAAUAUUUUGGCCAUAGAAUAAAGGGACUUUCUGUAUA